GAAUGCAAGGGUAAUCUGAAUGCAACAUCUGUCACCCCAUUGAUUUCCAGAAUUGAUUCAGUUAACCUGACUGGCUAAGCAGAGAUGUCCUUCCUCCCUCACCACUUCUUGUGGCUCCCUUCCAAAGCUGUACACUCAUGGGAAGAGGACAUCCAUCCCAGAUUGAAAGAGUGGAAGUGCUAACGAGAGGAUUAGCAUAUUUGGCCACUCCCUUCACCUGAUAAAAACAGCAGCCCACAGUUCAUUUGAGUGUGCUCUUUAGUGGAGGAAGGCUGCUCUC
rnacentral:snRNA from 1 species